GAAGGUAUAGUUCAAGCGGUAGAGUAUGUGCUUAACAUGCAUGAGGCCCUGGUUCAAUCCCCAGUACCUCCU
rnacentral:tRNA from 1 species